GUGCUCGCUUCAACAGCAUAUAUAUUGAAGUUGGAGCAAUGCAGAGAAGAUUAGCAUGGCCCCUGUACAAGGAAGACACACGAACUCAUGAAGUGUUCCAUAUUAAA
rnacentral:snRNA from 1 species